GGCGGCCGCGGGAUUCGAUUAGAGUUUGAUCCUGGCUCAGAUUGAACGCUGGCGGCAGGCCUAACACAUGCAAGUCGAAUGGUAACAGGAAACAGCUUGCUGUUUCGCUGACGAGUGGCGGACGGGUGAGUAAUGUCUGGGAAACUGCCUGAUGGAGGGGGAUAACUACUGGAAACGGUAGCUAAUACCGCAUAACGUCGCAAGACCAAAGAGGGGGACCUUCGGGCCUCUUGCCAUCAGAUGUGCCCAGAUGGGAUUAGCUAGUAGGUGGGGUAACGGCUCACCUAGGCGACGAUCCCUAGCUGGUCUGAGAGGAUGACCAGCCACACUGGAACUGAGACACGGUCCAGACUCCUACGGGAGGCAGCAGUGGGGAAUAUUGCACAAUGGGCGCAAGCCUGAUGCAGCCAUGCCGCGUGUAUGAAGAAGGCCUUCGGGUUGUAAAGUACUUUCAGCGGGGAGGAAGGGAGUAAAGUUAAUACCUUUGCUCAUUGACGUUACCCGCAGAAGAAGCACCGGCUAACUCCGUGCCAGCAGCCGCGGUAAUACGGAGGGUGCAAGCGUUAAUCGGAAUUACUGGGCGUAAAGCGCACGC
rnacentral:rRNA from 1 species